ACCAGGUCAUGGCAUGAACAAAGAGAAAGGAGAAAGCGGCAACAAUACUUGGAUGAAGAAAAGAGAUGGAUUUAUAUUUAAAUCCGUAUGAUGAAUCAGUAAGCACUCCACUUAGAAUAGAUAAAUGAUGAGAAUUCGGGAUUGGAUGGAAUGAAGAACCUGCAGUCGGCGAUAUGUCUUGCUCCAUAUUCAGACGGGCAUUUAUCAGGAAAAGAUUCUGCUAGCUGAGAACAUGGACUAAAAAUACUUGAUGUUGGAAAGGAAGCCCCUCCUAAUUAUGAGAAGUUAGUUGAAAUGAGUGAACUUGAAGUACCAAGAAAGUAGUUAAUAAAAAUUCCCCGCAAAUGCAACAGCUUAGGACACUCUUUCAUCAUGACAUGGAUUCUUUAGUGAUAGAAUCAUGGCACUGGAAAAAAAUGGCCGCCUUUUACAGUGUAAAUAACGUUGUGGGUGAGGAUUUGAGUGGCCACUGACCAGGUUGGACAAGUGGCCAUUUAUUCAGGUUAAAUAUAUAGUAUAUGUUGUCAGGGGGAAUUGAAAGUUACUGCUGGUCAUGAGUGGACAUUGAUUUCAAGUGGCCGCUAAAACAGUUCUGAUUGUAAUUAUACAUGCAUUGUGCUAGAAUAAGAAUUGUAUAGCAUUGCGUAUUUAAUAUUUAAAUAAGUUCUCACAGAUCACAGUUUGUAUAUGAUUUUUUCCCUCAUGAUCUUUCUUCUGAGUGUAUACAAUCAAAAAGGUUGAGGAUGAGGAAGUCAGAAUUUAACAAGUUUAUAUUUUAAAAUACUCUGUGAUUUUAAUUCAUUUUGUGCAGCACUAUUGCAUUGAUAUGUGCAGAUGAAAUUCAUUGUAAGAGGUGAAUCUUUUCUUUCUUGUAAAAUGUUUAAUGGUUGUUGUUAACCAGAAAUCCUGUAUUCAUUUUACAGGACGAUCAAUUUAAAUUUGUGUCAUACUCAAGUGAUUUCUAUGCACCAAAGGUUGUGAAUGUAUUAAUUUAUUUUUGUUCUGUUUCUUUCUCUGAUGUAUACAGUGUAAAUGUUCAACGAACAAAUUUUGUUCUCGUGCUGUGCAAGUCUUUUUUAAACAUUGAGUUUAUAGUUAGUGUUA